rnacentral:rRNA from 1 species
GACGAACGCUGGCGGCGUGCUUAACACAUGCAAGUCGAACGGAAAGGCCCUGCUUUUGUGGGGUGCUCGAGUGGCGAACGGGUGAGUAACACGUGAGUAACCUGCCCUUGACUUUGGGAUAACUUCAGGAAACUGGGGCUAAUACCGGAUAGGAGCUCCUGCUGCAUGGUGGGGGUUGGAAAGUUUCGGCGGUUGGGGAUGGACUCGCGGCUUAUCAGCUUGUUGGUGGGGUAGUGGCUUACCAAGGCUUUGACGGGUAGCCGGCCUGAGAGGGUGACCGGCCACAUUGGGACUGAGAUACGGCCCAGACUCCUACGGGAGGCAGCAGUGGGGAAUAUUGCACAAUGGGCGGAAGCCUGAUGCAGCAACGCCGCGUGCGGGAUGACGGCCUUCGGGUUGUAAACCGCUUUCGCCUGUGACGAAGCGUGAGUAACGGUAAUGGGUAAAGAAGCACCGGCUAACUACGCG